GGAUCCCACGCACUAAGGGGGCACUAAUGUCUGAUUUCUCCCUCUAUGACCAGGAAGCUGCCAACAGGGAGCCAACUUCCACUUGCUGGGUCCCUGAAGCUCUUUAGGGCACUGGAAUACAUGGAUUUUGUCUUGCAGCAUCCAACAUGGAGAAGCUGGAGACCCUACUAGCCUUGGAACGAGAAGAAAUUAUAACAAAAUAUGAGCAGGUACAGCCCAGCGGGAACCAUGGGCAGCAAGAGCACUCACAUUCCAGGUAGGAGUCACAGCGAAAGCUGAGCAGAGCAAGCCUGAGUGGACAUCCUCCUCCCCAGGAUGAGUGGGUAUGGCUCAGGUGGGGGUCACCACAAAUGGGACCAGGUGGCCCAGGCAUGAUCCUAGCCAGGUACGAGGUGAGGCCCAGGCAGAUCCCACUGAGUGAGGCAGGCCUGGUGCUGUGCCCCUGGGAUGCAGGGUGGGGAGUUGUCCUGCCCUGCCUUUCCUGGCAUCUCUCAGCCCCCUCUGGCUUUUGGGCCAUACAAGGAGGAUGCGGGAACCAGGUAAGGAUACAGAUCUCUCAGUGUACAGUGUCGCCAACAGGCUAGGUUCCUUGCUGUGAGUCACUGGGAUGCCCCUCUUUCCCAUCCUGGGGGUGGGUUUCCACGAGAAGAAACAUCCCAAAGGUGUCAAGAACAGGAGUGACCGCUGGUGGCCAUGGCAGGCCAUGGGCUGAUGAAUCCAAGAGCAGAGGUGGGCUCCAGGGGGUCCUCCACGCACAUCUGGCUCUUGCAGGAGGUGGGCUACUUCCAGGGCAUGAAUGAGGUCGUGGCCGUCCUACUGAUGUUCCUGAACGAGGACGACACCUUCUGGAGGUUGUUCCAGCUGAUGACUGAUGAGAAGCACGUCAUGCGCAAUAGGUGCCUGCUGAGGACGGCUGGGCAAGCCUGAGGAUCGAGGGUCUCUUUGCAGGGGGGCUGGUGGGGACCCUGGCCCAGGACAGCUCCCCAUCAGCAAAGGACACUGGUUCCCCACGCUGCCCUUUGGGUUCUGGAACCUCAGCCCUCAGUCCCAGCCUCAUGCAGACCACUCUCCCUUCCUUCGCUGCUGGUCCUUCUGCCUCAAGCCUGCCAUCCACCAGGCACCCCGCAAGCCCACAGCCACGUGAAGCCCAGGCAGCAACACCACCUCCUCUGCCCCCAGCCUGGUUGCAGAGGCCAGGAGAUGGCCAGGCACACACCCCCAUCUCCCCUGGGGGCCACACUCGCUGCCCCUCCAUACCAGGCCUGCCAUCCCCCACUGUGCCUGCUGUGGCGACAGCAUGCCGGGGCCAGAUGCCUCCCCACCCCUCUGCCCAGGGCACCAGCUGAGCUGGGCAUCCAGGAGCAGGGCCUCUGCCCUGGCCUCACAGGCUGUCCUCCCUGGGAAGAGCAUGUCCAGCCAGGGCUCAAGAGGGCCCCACAGGCAGGGGUCACCACUCGGGGCUCCUGUGGUACUCCACUCCCCUCUGGGCAAGGCUCUGACUUGUGGGGGUCUGGGGGCUCCUCAGGCUUCAUCCCUGGAUUCCUGACAUUGCUAAGAUUCCAGGCCCACCACAGGCACAUUCUCGGCAGAGCCCUCCCCAAGUUGAAGGGACAUGUGUCCCUGCCUGGGCCACCCCCAGGGCCACACGACAGGCCUGACUCCGUGACCCCGCCGAGGCCCCGGCAACCAGCUCCACCCAGUCUGCUGAAGACGGCGCCACUGGGCCCAGGACACCCCUCCUGCCCUGAGGCAGCUGAAGCCAGCAUCCCUCCCAUGAGUGACCAGCACCAGCACAGCCAUGAUGGAGCCAGGACAGCACCCCAAGAGCUGCGUCAAGACCCCACACAACCGCAUGACCCCCUGAGCUCUGUGUCCAUAGGGAGCCUGGACGUUCAGGGGCCUCCAGAGGAUGAGGUGACUGUGAGCACAGGGACCCCGAGGCUCCCGGGGACCCCGAGGUCCCCAGAAGCCAGCAGCAUGCCCUGCUUUUUCACGCUGAGCUUCUUGGAGGAUGGACCCUACCCCUACCCCCAUAUAGCACAAGUCCCUGACUCCAAAGGGCCUGAAUUUGGGCUCCAGGAGAGCAGAGGCUGUGUGAGCACCCCCCAGCCUGGACUGUGACUAAAGGGGCUGCCCCGGCCAGUCAGGAACGCUGGCUCAAGGCAAGGCGAGCCCUCUCGGAGCUGUAUGUGGUCUCCUACAGCCUGAGCAUGCCCCACAAGGUCCCUUUGGUGACCUGAGGAGCCUCUGGGAGCAACAGGCCACCUCCACCCUCACACGCAUAAGGAGGCGGGGCUAGAGCAGAGGGUGCCGCUGUUUGGGCAGACGCAACACACUGUGUCCAAGUCAGUGACUGCCUUUUGGGGCCCCUAAAUCUCAGCAAAUACAGCCCCACCUGGGGUCCAACGGGGUUCCCUGCCCCCCCAGCCAUUCGCUAUGAAGGUCUCCCUCCAGGGGACGGGCAGACUUUGGUUUCAGUUUCCCCCCUUGCUGGUUAAAGGUUAAUACAUUUUCGUGCAU
ensembl:lncRNA